rnacentral:rRNA from 1 species
GACGAACCGUGCGAACGUUGUUCGGAAUCACUGGGCUUAAAGGGCGCGUAGGCGGCCUGCCAAGUCAGGGGUGAAAGCCCCCAGCUCAACUGGGGAAGUGCCUUUGAUACUGGCGGGCUCGAGCGAGGUAGGGGUCGUGGGAACUUCCGGUGGAGCGGUGAAAUGCGUUGAUAUCGGAAGGAACGCCGGUGGCGAAGGCGGGUCUCUGGGCCGAUACUGACGCUGAGGAGCGAAAGCGUGGGAGCGAACAGG